rnacentral:rRNA from 1 species
AGCUCCAAUAGCGUAUAUUAAAGUUGCUGCAGUUAAAAAGCUCGUAGUUGGAUCUCGGGUUCGGUUGGGUUGGUCCUGCCCAAGCAGGUACUGGCCUUGCUGGCCUAAUCAGUGGCGGACCCUCGGGUUGUUCGCCUCGGGUUCCCUUGAGUGGGUGCUCGCAGGCAGCCAUUGGUUUUACCUUGAAAAAAUUAGAGUGUUCAAGGCAGGUUUGAAAGCUCGAAUAGUUGUGCAUGGAAUAAUGGAAUAUGACUCUGACGCCAUUCCGUUGGUCAUAUGGUGUUAUGAGUAAUGAUUAAGAGGGACUGCCGGGGGCAUCAGUAUGGCGGCGUUAGAGGUGAAAUUCUGGGAUCGUCGCCAGACUACCAAAAGCGAAAGCAUUUGCCAAGAAUGUCUUCAU